UGCCAGACUCCUACGGGAGGCAGCAGUGAGGAAUAUUGGUCAAUGGUCGGGAGACUGAACCAGCCAAGCCGCGUGAGGGAGGAAGGUACAGAGUAUCGUAAACCUCUUUUGUCAGGGAACAAAGGCGGGGACGUGUCCCCGGAUGAGUGUACCUGAAGAAAAAGCAUCGGCUAACUCCGUGCCAGCAGCCGCGGUAAUACGGAGGAUGCGAGCGUUAUCCGGAUUUAUUGGGUUUAAAGGGUGCGCAGGCGGGCUGUUAAGCCGGCGGUAAAAAUUCAGGGCUCAACCCUGUCGAGCCGUCGGAACUGGCAGUCUUGAGUGGGCGAGAAGUGCGCGGAAUGCGUGGUGUAGCGGUGAAAUGCAUAGAUAUCACGCAGAACUCCGAUUGCGAAGGCAGCGCACCGGCGCCCUACUGACGCUCAGGCACGAAAGCGUGGGUAUCGAACAGGAUUAGAUACCCGCGUA
rnacentral:rRNA from 1 species